GAUGAACGCUGGCGGCGUGCCUAACACAUGCAAGUCGAGCGGCAGCGAGGGGUGCUUGCACCCUGUCGGCGAGCGGCGGACGGCUGAGUAACGCGUGGGAACGUGCCCCAAAGUGAGGAAUAACUGCCCGAAAGGGUAGCUAAUACCGCAUAUUAUCUUCGGAUCAAAGGAUUUAUCCGCUUUGGGAGCGGCUCGCGUCGGAUUAGGUAGUUGGUGAGGUAAUGGCUCACCAAGCCGACGAUCCGUAGCUGGUCUGAGAGGAUGACCAGCCAGACUGGAACUGAGACACGGUCCAGACUCCUACGGGAAGCAGCAGUGAGGAAUCUUCCACAAUGGGCGAAAGCCUGAUGGAGCAACGCCGCGUGCAGGACGAAGGCCUUCGGGUUGUAAACUGCCUUUAUAAGUGAGGAAUAUGACGGUAACUUACGAAUAAGGAUCGGCUAACUGCGUG
rnacentral:rRNA from 1 species